GUACGGGGGGGGCAAGCGUUGUUCGGAAUUACUGGGCGUAAAGGGCUCGUAGGCGGCCAACUAAGUCGGAUGUGAAAUCCCCAGGCUUAACCUGGGAACUGCAUCCGAUACUGGAUGGCUUGAAUCCGGGAGAGGGAUGCAGAAUUCCAGGUGUAGCGGUGAAAUGCGUAGAUAUCUGGAGGAAUACCGGUGGCGAAGGCGGCAUCCUGGACCGGCAUUGACGCUGAUGAGCGAAAGCGUGGGGGAGCGAACAGG
rnacentral:rRNA from 1 species